CUCAAUGUGCUGCCCCAGAGUUUUGGGGUGCUGUGGCUCCUUCUGUGUUAAAGCUGCUUCUCACUCUUCUCUUCCAAGGAGGAAGCAAUUGAGACGAGAGAUUUUAUCCUACGUGAUUACCUUCCUCAUUAUAAGAAUGUCUUUAUGGAAGUAUCGGAGAACACCAUUGAGACUGGGGACUUAGUGCUUUUCAAAAUGCUGUCCAGCAGCAAUGCUAUGCUCUGCUUCAAGCAUGCAGUUGUCUAUUGUGGGGACGGAGAGGUCAUCCACUUCCAGAAGAUCGAAGGUUCAAGUACAGGGCAAAUAAGCAAAGAAGAAUUCCAGAUUAUGAGACAGCAGAGGGGAAAAGGCAAGGUUCUCAGGAAAAAGGACGGGGUCAACCUUGAAACCUUCACUGAGAAAGUCAAGCAGCUGAUGAACAGCACAGCCGAGUACGACUUUUUGAAAAACAACAGCAUCAACUUUGCUUUUUAUCUGCUGGAUCUGGGGAGUUUCAGCUUUCAGUCCCCGAAGAGCCAUGAAGAGGAACUUGAAAGUUUGACUGCACAGCGCAACAUGAUCGUCUGAGAGGUUUCCAGAGUCUCAUUCCCCAGCACACGCCCAGAAGAGCUUCGUCCCCACCAUUCGUUUUUCCACAUGUCUGCUUCCUUCAAAAGAUCUGUAGGCAUUCCUUUCCAUCUUUUUGUGCUGGAUCAUAUCGCAGCAGGAGCUCUGCAUCCCCUGCACAUGGGUGGAAAUAUUAAUCAGCUGCUUUAUUGAUUAUUUGCACCUGAAGACUGCCUGUUUUCACUGCCUUACUUCAAAUGGUCAUAACACUCAGAGUAAUUUCAGAUAGAAUUACUUGUUAAUAAUAGUGCUUAUCUGUGUAUAACAAUUCUUAUCAGCAACUUCUUGUACUACUAAUAUCCACAGCCAAAUAACAAUAUCCAAGGUAAUGGUAUCUUAAGUAAUUAUAAUAAAAAAAAUUAAUCCUUCUUAUACUAUUAAAUC
rnacentral:lncRNA from 1 species